GAUUCAAAUUCAAGCGCCAACGGAACACAACACAUUCAGUGCUAGCUGCCUCAAGAGAUCCGACGAGACGGAGUUUCUUUCAAUAAAGUUAUGCUGCAGGUCACCACUGCACGUGAAUGCACAACUGAUGGAUCUCUCUGCAUGAACAAGGGUCAUUGGAAAACCACACAACUACAACGAAGAUGGGAAUUCUUGAAACAGUAAGCAGCAGCCACUUAAUAACAGCCCUGUCAACUGUGCUGAAUGUCUGCUGUCCUGGAAGAGGAGAUGGUGCUCGACAGCUUUAUGCUUUUGGAUUAUUGUAUCCAAAAGUUCCUCUUGAAGAUUUUUUUCAUUUGUGUCAACUGGGUUAAGUAAUCCAUUGUUAAGAUUUGAUGGUGUUUUUUAUGCUUUUUGGUGGGACACAAAAUGCUAGACUGGGACAGUGACAGAUUGUGGCCUAAACCCAGCCAUGGUCCAGAACCUCAACCAGAUCUAUUCAUUCUGCUGGGUUUCUCUGCAGGCAGGAGCGGAUCAGGCUGCAACACUUCUGCUCAUUUACAUCUAUUCUAAACUGUAAGACAGAUUUGAUAACUUGUCCUGCAUAAUCUGCACAGCUAAAUCUAGAUAAUUCUAUGUAGUCUGCAGUCCGGUUUCUUUCUUCUCUUUUGUUAGAGAAUUAAAGAAUUUGACGUUGUUGUGUUGAAGAUCUUAGUCAGACAAGCCAGACUUGGACCAAAUGUUGAAGUUGAUGAGAUUGUGGUCAUGGGUGUCAUGAAAUCCCACACACACAAGUGAAAACAGCAGCACACCUAGCAAAUAUACUAUGGCCAGCUCCACAUAUUUUCCCAUAGAUUUAAAUUUGGGUACAUUAGUGUUCCUGUGAGAAGAUGCUUUACAAUUAAAAUAAUGCUCAUAAUGUUAACAGUAAAAAAGUCAAAAUCUACAACCUGGUUAUAGCCUAUAACCUAGUUUUAUGUUAUAUUUAAUGUUAAUUGCACCAGUUGUUAAGUAGUUGUGCGAAUGAUAGUGUGAACAAUUAGUUGUUCAUCAUGCGACUUUCUCAUCACCACAUACAUUUGGUUGUGUUUUUGUAACUAUAACAAAGUUUUCAAUGUAGAAACUUAAUAAUCUGAGCGAUCUGAAUUAUAAUUAUUUAGUGCAUACCCAUAAAGGUUGUAUAUUCUGCACUCUGAAGGAGAUCACCACAGCCAAAGUCAAUAAGCUUGACUUCUAGUGUGUCCCUGUUGAUAAGGAGGUUCUCCUGUUUAAUAUCUCGGUGGAAAACACCUUUGCAGCUCAUGUAUGUGGCUGUUAUUGCCUGCCACAUUACAAUCCGUGCCAGUUCUUUAUCAAGUCUCUCUGUGGCUCUGGACGAAAACGAAGAGGUCCUCGCAGGGAUCAGACCGCUCCAGCACCAUGAUGUAAUAGUUCCCCUUAUCAUUCCAGUCCAGCAGCUGGAUAAUUUGAAAGACUCUGGUGUUUUCAUUGUCUAGAAUCAAUAGAGCGGCCUCCAUCAGGAGACAACAUCAGACCAUGGCUAAGAGAAAGACAGUUUUGAUGAUGGUUAAUGAAGUUUAUAUUGUCAAAUAGGGCUGGGCGAUAUGGCAAAAAAAAAAAGGAUUAUUUUUUUAUAUUGGUCUAUAUUAAUAGUUAUCACAAUAAAUGUCAAAUCUUUAUAUGUCAAUUUUAAAGGCUUUUCAGCAUAAAAAUCUCUGUGCGGCUGAUUUGGAUUUUGUGAAAUGUUUUAGCUGUCUGACAAUGCAAACAAAAAACAACAACCAAAGACAUUACCCUACAAGUAGUUGUAUAUUGUUCAACAUCAGAACAAAUAUAAAGCCGGUUUGUAACAAGUAAAAGGUAACAGAAUUGUCAGUUUUUGGAUGAACUGUCCUUUAAAUGGUGAGAAUGGUGAAUUUAAGGUGAAAUAUCCUUUAAUAAAUUUUAUUUAGGAAUGCUAACGAUUACUGAAUGAUUGAUUGAUUGUCAAUUACCCUUUAAUCAACAGACCUUAUCAAUGACUGAUUAAGCAUGGACAUUUAAAGGUUAAGUUAUGCUUUGUGCUGUGAGAUGCAUCCAGGCAUUACAUAAUCGUGUGUAGUUUACCUUAUCUUAUGGAGUCACCCUUUUGACAUUGCAUACUGCGGGAUGCAUAAAACCCUGAUAUGUGCAGAUCUUGUCUCACACUUCCGACUUCAUUCUUCUGAGGUAAUCUAAGAAUACUUUCAGUGCUGUGAAUAGUUUGUAAAGACUGUACUGGCUCAUUCAUACCGCUUGAUUAAAGAAAUUAAACUGAAACCAUGAAAACAGAUAAAUAAAUUAUUUUGACGCUGAAGCAUAAAAUGACCUUGUUUUGAAGAGCUUCAUUUCAGAUGUAAUUCGUUCUUGUUUAUUUUGUAGAUAAUUGACCUACAAAAGUAAAUUAAAAUACAAAUUAUACAAAAUGAUU
ensembl:antisense